CCGCUUUCACAAUCGCUAACACCGAUGUGGCUUAAACCAAGAUUCAGAGUUUCCCUUGGAUAAAAAUAGACUAUACGAAUGGACACUGACCUUGCUAUUGCGCAAUCGAGCGAAUCGACGCAAGGAUGCGAAAUAUUAUUAGAGAAGCAAGCAUUCCUCCGCCGAUAUCAUUGUUGUGGACACAGCGAACUAAGCGACUUGGCGACAACUGAUUUUAUAAAGAAUGGUACAAAGACGGAGAUAUAAAAGAGAAAAGGAACAGAAACAUUCGAAGAGCCACUUAACCUCUCAAAGAUGGAAAGUUGAUUGAAAGCAUUUGUGUUUUCGGAUAAAGAAUGAUAUCUUAAAGUGGGAAAACACAUUGCACCUCUCGUGGCAAAGAAAAACAAGAAGUAAAUGUACACUUAAGUGAUCGCAAAAUACCAGCUGGGGAUGGUGAUUUAUUUAUGUUUCCAAGAAGAUCUCCAUGUUAUUCGUUACAGUUAUGAGAGGAUUUCACGAAUAUACGUAGAUACUUCCAGC